rnacentral:lncRNA from 1 species
UUGUUUUCAUGGAUAAAAAAUAGAAAUUAUCAUUUGGUUGUAGCUAAAAUAUGAACGAUGAUUGGCAAUUACGGUAUUGAAUUUCCUCCUGUUUUAUGUACAUCUCAACGCUCAUAUAUACCUCCAGACAAAGGUACCAGUUGUACACCUGGACUAUCAAGACCCGUAUGAGGGUUUGGAUGGGGUUAAAUGAUUAAAGAAUAAUGCCCUUAAAAAUUAAAGAUUAGAGAAUAACGGGCCAAAAAAAUGAAGAUUAGAGAAAAAAGGGGUUAAAUUUUGGAAGAUUAGAGAAAAAAGGGGUUAUUUUUUUAAUGAGAAAAAAAGGGGCGAAAAUUAAAUGUUUACAGAAUAAGUAAACAGAACCCCUCCCCCAUCCAGACCCUCCCGUAUCGGCAAUCCUCGUGUGACUCUAGAUGAAAGGAACGGAAUUGGCCGAGUUGUGACGAAUAUCAACCCCCGAGAUACAGG